CUCAUUAAUGAGGCUUUGCGCUGCCCUUGUGGCAGCUAGCCGAAGGUUUCGCAAGAAGCCGAUGUCAAUUUGAAUCCUUUUUAAAAUACGACUGAUCAAAACUGCAGAUAGAAAUAUCUGCAUGCAAUUGAAAUACAACUUUCAACAGUGGAUGUCUAGGCUCGCACACCGAUGAAGAACGCUGCGAACUGCGAUACGUAAUGCGAAUUGCAGAAUUCAGUGAGUCAUCAAAAUUUUGAACGCAUAUUGCACUUCCGGGUUAGUCCUGGGAGUAUGUUUGUAUCAGUGUCCGUGAACACAAACUUGUUUCAUUUCUUGAUUGGGAUGGAGCAGACUGUGAAGGUCUUGUAAUUACAAGUCCUUUUAAACGACGGUACCUAUGCGUCCUAGUGAGAUGUAUUAUUUAAAGGUAUGCCUGCGCUCCUUUCGAAAGUCUUGUGUGGCGGCACACAGCACUCAAAGAGAGAGCAAAUCGCGGUAGUUUUGCUUGUACUUCGGUACGAGUGGACACAUAUUGCUUUUUGUGAUUUCUGCGAGUCUGUUGUCAAAGUACAAGGCACGUAAGGAGAGUUGGUAUGCUGGUGCAUUUCUUGGCGUAUGGAGGCAAAUUGGGAAUUCAAUCCA
rnacentral:misc_RNA from 1 species